rnacentral:rRNA from 1 species
UACGUAGGGUGCGAGCGUUAAUCGGAAUUACUGGGCGUAAAGCGUGCGCAGGCGGUUCGUUGUGUCGGCGGUGAAAUCCCCGGGCUCAACCUGGGAAUGGCCGUUGAAACUGGCGAACUGGAGUGUGGCAGAGGGGGGUGGAAUUCCACGUGUAGCAGUGAAAUGCGUAGAGAUGUGGAGGAACACCGAUGGCGAAGGCAGCCCCCUGGGUUAACACUGACGCUCAGGCACGAAAGCGUGGGGAGCAAACAGG